GUCCCUAUCGUCUAGAGGCCUAGGACAUCAGGUUUUCAUCCUGGUAACCCGGGUUCGAAUCCCGGUGGGGAUGCCA
rnacentral:tRNA from 1 species